rnacentral:rRNA from 1 species
GAUGAACGCUGGCGGCGUGCCUAAUACAUGCAAGUCGAGCGAACGGACGAGAAGCUUGCUUCUCUGAUGUUAGCGGCGGACGGGUGAGUAACACGUGGAUAACCUACCUAUAAGACUGGGAUAACUUCGGGAAACCGUAGCUAAUACCGGAUAAUAUUUUGAACCGCAUGGUUCAAAAGUGAAAGACGGUCUUGCUGUCACUUAUAGAUGGAUCCGCGCUACAUUAGCUAGUUGGUAAGGUAACGGCUUACCAAGGCAACGAUGCAUAGCCGACCUGAGAGGGUGAUCGACCACACUGGAACUGAGACACGGUCCAGACUCCUACGGGAGGCAGCAGUAGGGAAUCUUCCGCAAUGGGCGAAAGCCUGACGGAGCAACGCCGCGUGAGUGAUGAAGGUCUUCGGAUCGUAAAACUCUGUUAUUAGGGAAGAACAUAUGUGUAAGUAACUGUGCACAUCUUGACGGUACCUAAUCAGAAAGCCACGGCUAACUACGUG